rnacentral:rRNA from 1 species
UACGGAGGGUGCAAGCGUUAUCCGGAUUCACUGGGUUUAAAGGGCGCGUAGGCGGUCAGCGCAAGUCAGUUGUGAAAUCUCCGGGCUUAACUCGGAAAGGUCAACUGAUACUGUGCGACUAGAGUGCAGAAGGGGCAACUGGAAUUCUCGGUGUAGCGGUGAAAUGCGUAGAUAUCGAGAGGAACACCUGCGGCGAAGGCGGGUUGCUGGGCUGACACUGACGCUGAUGCGCGAAAGCCAGGGGAGCGAACGGG